rnacentral:rRNA from 1 species
UGGGGGAUAUUGCACAAUGGGCGAAAGCCUGAUGCAGCGACGCCGCGUGGGGGAUGAAGGCUUUCGGGUUGUAAACCUCUUUCGCUAUCGAACAAGGCCCGCUUAGGGUGGGUUGAGGGUAGGUGGAGAAGAAGCGCCGGCUAACUACGUGCCAGCAGCCGCGGUAAUACGUAGGGCGCGAGCGUUGUCCGGAAUUAUUGGGCGUAAAGGGCUUGUAGGCGGCUUGUUGCGCCUGCUGUGAAAACGCGGGGCUUAACUUCGCGCGUGCAGUGGGUACGGGCAGGCUUGAGUGUGGUAGGGGUGACUGGAAUUCCAGGUGUAGCGGUGGAAUGCGCAGAUAUCUGGAGGAACACCGAUGGCGAAGGCAGGUCACUGGGCCAUUACUGGCGCUGAGGAGCGAAAGCAUGGGUAGCGAACAGG